GUCGAACGGUAGCACAGAGAGCUUGCUCUCGGGUGACGAGUGGCGCACUGGUGAGUAAUGUCUGGGAAACUGCCCGAUGGAGGGGGAUAACUACUGGAAACGGUAGCUAAUACCGCAUAACGUCGCAAGACCAAAGAGGGGGACCUUAGGGCCUCUUGCCAUCGGAUGUGCCCAGAUGGGAUUAGCUUGUAGGUGAGGUAACGGCUCACCUAGGCGACGAUCCCUAGCUGGUCUGAGAGGAUGACCAGCCACACUGGAACUGAGACACGGUCCAGACUCCUACGGGAGGCAGCAGUGGGGAAUAUUGCACAAUGGGCGCAAGCCUGAUGCAGCCAUGCCGCGUGUAUGAAGAAGGCCUUCGGGUUGUAAAGUACUUUCAGCGGGGAGGAAGGGAGUGAGGUUAAUAACCUUAUUCAUUGACGUUACCCGCAGAAGAAGCACCGGCUAACUCCGUGCCAGCAGCCGCGGUAAUACGGAGGGUGCAAGCGUUAAUCGGAAUUACUGGGCGUAAAGCGCACGCAGGCGGUCUGUCAAGUCGGAUGUGAAAUCCCCGGGCUCAACCUGGGAACUGCAUUCGAAACUGGCAGGCUGGAGUCUUGUAGAGGGGGGUAGAAUUCCAGGUGUAGCGGUGAAAUGCGUAGAGAUCUGGAGGAAUACCGGUGGCGAAGGCGGCCCCCUGGACAAAGACUGACGCUCAGGU
rnacentral:rRNA from 1 species